UGUUCUCUUUCUCAUUUUUUCCCCUCCCUGCGAAAAAAAAGAAAAAAAAAAGAUGAUUUUUCAAACCUCUGACAGCCGAGCCUUUUCGCAGGAUUUAGUCCAUCUGAAAACAUGUGGCCCAACUUUGCAUUUGCUGAAAGGAACAAAGGCCGAACGACGAGACGGUGCAAUAAAAACAACCGGAUCGAAGGCAACUGGAAGUGAUGAAGGACUCGCUCACACUUACGUCGACGCGCGUUUCGAAUCACAGUGAUGUACGAUCCGCGGCCAUCAGCCAGGCCGACAUUGAUCAGGAGCGGCUGCCAGCGCGCCGUCAAAUCAAUCACGGCGAUUGAUUCAGCAGCUCGAGGAGAAUGCAUGAAUGCAUGAAUGCAUGAAUGCACGGCGCAGGGUUUAACGUUGAGCACCGCAAGAAGAACACGUCGAUGUGACGUUAACAACCAUCACCCUUGAUCAUGACGGUAUCGGUAUCAUAUUAUUAAUAAGUCAGAGAAGGUUGAUCCGAAUCUCAGGGGACGGGUUUGGAGGAGAGACGAGCGGCUGCACGUCCCGACACACACUGGCGAGAGUGAUCCUCAGAUUCAUUCCAACAACUGCUUAUGUGCUUUGGCAGCAGUUUGUGAAUAAUGCUCAUCACCC
ensembl:lncRNA